rnacentral:rRNA from 1 species
UACGUAGGGCGCAAGCGUUGUCCGGAAUUAUUGGGCGUAAAGAGCUCGUAGGCGGUUUGUCGCGUCUGCUGUGAAAACUCGAGGCUCAACCUCGGGCUUGCAGUGGGUACGGGCAGACUAGAGUGCGGUAGGGGAGACUGGAAUUCCUGGUGUAGCGGUGAAAUGCGCAGACUAUCAGGAGGAACACCGGUGGGCGAAGGC